GUCCCUGUAGCGCAUUUGCUAGUGCGUUGGACUUCUAAUCCAAAGGUCGUGGGUUCGAAUCCCACCUGGAAUG